GAUAAACGCUGGCGGCGUGCCUAAUACAUGCAAGUCGAGCGAACAGACGAGGAGCUUGCUCCUCUGAUGUUAGCGGCGGACGGGUGAGUAACACGUGGAUAACCUACCUAUAAGACUGGGAUAACUUCGGGAAACCGGAGCUAAUACCGGAUAACAUGUUGAACCGCAUGGUUCAACAGUGAAAGACGGUCUUGCUGUCACUUAUAGAUGGAUCCGCGCCGCAUUAGCUAGUUGGUAAGGUAACGGCUUACCAAGGCAACGAUGCGUAGCCGACCUGAGAGGGUGAUCGGCCACACUGGAACUGAGACACGGUCCAGACUCCUACGGGAGGCAGCAGUAGGGAAUCUUCCGCAAUGGGCGAAAGCCUGACGGAGCAACGCCGCGUGAGUGAAGAAGGUCUUCGGAUCGUAAAACUCUGUUAUUAGGGAAGAACAAAUGUGUAAGUAACUAUGCACGUCUUGACGGUACCCAAUCAGAAAGCCACGGCUAACUACGUG
rnacentral:rRNA from 1 species